rnacentral:rRNA from 1 species
GACGAACGCUGGCGGCGUGCUUAACACAUGCAAGUCGAGCGGUAAGGCCCUUUCGGGGGUACACGAGCGGCGAACGGGUGAGUAACACGUGGGUGACCUGCCCUCAGCUCUGGGAUAAGCCUGGGAAACUGGGUCUAAUACCGGAUAUGACUCCAUGACGCAUGUUGUGGGGUGGAAAGCCUUGUGCGGCUGGGGAUGGGCCCGCGGCCUAUCAGCUUGUUGGUGGGGUGANGGCCUACCAAGGCGACGACGGGUAGCCGGCCUGAGAGGGCGACCGGCCACACUGGGACUGAGAUACGGCCCAGACUCCUACGGGAGGCAGCAGUGGGGAAUCUUGCGCAAUGGGCGAAAGCCUGACGCAGCGACGCCGCGUGAGGGAUGACGGCCUGG